rnacentral:rRNA from 1 species
AUUGAACGCUGGCGGCAGGCCUAACACAUGCAAGUCGAACGAGUGGCGGACGGGUGAGUAAUGUAUGGGAAACUGCCUGAUGGAGGGGGAUAACUACUGGAAACGGUAGCUAAUACCGCAUACCAUCGGAUGUACCCAGAUGGGAUUAGCUAGUAGGUAGGGUAAAGGCUCACCUAGGCGACGAUCCCUAGCUGGUCUGAGAGGAUGACCAGCCACACUGGAACUGAGACACGGUCCAGACUCCUACGGGAGGCAGCAGUGGGGAAUAUUGGACAAUGGGCGAAAGCCUGAUGCAGCCAUGCCGCGUGUGUGAAGAAGGCCUUCGGAUUGUAAAGUACUUUCAGUUGGGAGGCGUUACCAACAGAAUAAGCACCGGCUAACUCCGUGCCAGCAGCCGCGGUAAUUC